rnacentral:rRNA from 1 species
AGAUUAAGUUAUUAAGGGCGCACGGUGGAUGCCUUGGCACUAGAAGCCGAUGAAGGACGUUACUAACGACGAUAUGCUUUGGGGAGCUGUAAGUAAGCUUUGAUCCAGAGAUUUCCGAAUGGGGAAACCCAGCAUGAGUUAUGUCAUGUUAUCGAUAUGUGAAUACAUAGCAUAUCAGAAGGCACACCCGGAGAACUGAAACAUCUUAGUACCCGGAGGAAGAGAAAGAAAAUUCGAUUCCCUUAGUAGCGGCGAGCGAAACGGGAAGAGCCCAAACCAACAAGUUUGCUGGUUGGGGUUGUAGGACACUCUAUACGGAGUUACAAAGGACGACAUUAGACGAAUCAUCUGGAAAGAUGAAUCAAAGAAGGUAAUAAUCCU